rnacentral:rRNA from 1 species
AUUGAACGCUGGCGGUAGGCUUAACACAUGCAAGUCGAACGGUAACAUAGCUAGCUUGCUAGCUGAUGACGAGUGGCGGACGGGUGAGUAACGCGUAGGAAUCUACCUAUUAGUGGGGGACAACCUGGUGAAAACCAGGCUAAUACCGCAUACGCCCUACGGGGGAAAGCAGGGGAUCUUCGGACCUUGCGCUAUUAGAUGAGCCUGCGUUAGAUUAGCUUGUUGGUGAGGUAAUGGCUCACCAAGGCGACGAUCUAUAGCUGGUCUGAGAGGAUGAUCAGCCACACUGGGACUGAGACACGGCCCAGACUCCUACGGGAGGCAGCAGUGGGGAAUAUUGCGCAAUGGGCGAAAGCCUGACGCAGCCAUACCGCGUGUGUGAAGAAGGGUUUAGGCUCGUAAAGCACUUUAAGUAGGGAGGAAGGCCUGUAAAUUAAUACUUUGCAGGAUUGACGUUACCUACAGAAUAAGCACCGGCUAACUCCGUGCCAGCAGCCGCGGUAAUACGGAGGGUGCAAGCGUUAAUCGGAAUUACUGGGCGUAAAGCGCGCGUAGGCGGUUUGUUAAGCGAGAUGUGAAAGCCCAGGGCUCAACCUUGGAACUGCAUUUCGAACUGGCAGGCUAGAGUACAAGAGAGGGUGGUAGAAUUUCCUGUGUAGCGGUGAAAUGCGUAGAUAUAGGAAGGAAUACCAGUGGCGAAGGCGGCCACCUGGCUUGAUACUGACGCUGA